ACUACUACUACUCCUGUUACUGCUGCUGCUGUUGCUGUUAUACCACUAACUUCGUGUGGUACUUCGCGAGGAACCAAUAAAAGUUCCUAGGCAAUGGAAAAGAAGAAACGUUCGUGAACGCGUUCGUUCGAUUUAUAUCCCGCAGGGGCUCGAAGAAGAACUAAGAGGAAAGAAGAAAGAAGAAAGAAGAGAACGAGAACAAGAAGUAUAUAUCCUGGCGUACGUUUCUUCGCGGGUUCGUCGAUCGUUCGAUGAGAUUCUUAUUGCCAGCUUCCUGCUGCACGUAUCACGCUGGUUACCUCUAGCUCGCAGCAUACACGGAAGUCUCGAAAGCGUUUGAAGAGAAAAAGAAGUGGAGGAGGAGGAGGAGGAGGAGGAGGAGAAGGAGGAAGAGGAGAAGGAAGAAGAUGAAGGAGGAUAAAGAGGAGUACUAGGUGCACCCUAUGCUUCUCCACGCAUAGUCCAUUAUCGUGUUCUAUCGUAGAACACGUACAUAACUACGAAUCGCAAGCUAUAUAUAUAUAUAUAUAUAUAUAUAUUGUACGUUUAUAUUGUAUACAUUCGCUGAGGGACCGGUCCCAACUGUGCGUGCACUGCCUACGUCGCACGCAUUAUUUCUUUUCGCGAACCGACGUGGACAGAGGUCAAGAAGAAGAGGAAGAAGAAAAAGAAGAGAAGAGAAGAAUACGACGAGACGAUGAGAGAGGCGAGAGUGAAGAAGAGGUGCCGUUGGUGGAGGUGGAGAAAUAAGAGGUAGUGGAGGAGGGGGAGGAGGAUGGUCGAAUGGGAAGAAUGCGUGACUCUUCUUCCGUCGUCGCGUACGCGACGUGUGCGAGGUCAGUGACCAUGAAGCGCGUACAAGGUGGGCGCGACUUCUUGCGCGACUUAGAGAGAGAGAGAGAGAGAGAGAGAGAGAGAAAGAGAGGGAUAGACCUGGGGCUGGUCGCGUCUUCGAGCUGGAAAAUGCGACGCGGAACGAAUACUUCGUACACGUAGUAUGCGAUACUCGAGCUAAUAUAGAACGGCUCGCGAGGAACGCGUCGAUCCUGAGAGUAUAUAUAUAUGUAUGUAUGUAUAUAUGUGUAUGUAUAUACAUGUAUGCGUGUGUGCAUGUGAAAGAGAGAAAUAUUCUUAA